UUCUUUCUGUGAAUAUGAAAAAAAGUAUGUUUCUAAAUGACCAGGUGGUCUUGGGCAUACAUGCUUUAUGUUCUUUCUUUUAUAAAGUGAUUCAGAGGAAGGCGUUCUGGUGGAUGACUGGCUGACAUCCAAACAAGAUCUAUUGGACACAUCAGAUGAAGAGCUGAAUGAUGACCUUUUGUGUAGCGAUGAUGAGAACGAAACUAUGAGAUGUCACAAUGAAAGCAUUCCUAAACCAAAACUGCAGGCGACUGCAAAGCCUUACCUUGUUUGUGGAACUCCACACCUUGCUGAAGACCAAGCCAGAUGUCCUAAAGAAGAGGUGGAGGUUGACCCUGGUGAAGUUUUAGACAUCGAAAUCAAUGCUCCUUCUGGAGAUGAAUUUCAAGGUGGAUCUGAGUUGCGAGAGGGUCUGUCUCCUCAGCCCUCUGGGCGUCAUCUCACACGCUCCUGCAGGGGACAGCCUGCCCCAGAGGAAACCGUCACUGGACCCUCCCGCAGUCCUGAGCCAGUGUUCCCAGGACAGCAUAUGUUUGAUCAACAACACUCUGCUUCAGUCUUGGACACUAAUCCGCUCCUAGCUGGACCUACUCCCAUGGGCUCCAUUCAGCCUCCGGGAAAUGAGAGUGACCCCUGGAGGCCCAGUCUAGCUUUGCAGGGGCCCACGGAUCUGUCAAAGCCUGGGACUCCCCACCGUGGGCAAAAGCCUCUCCAGAAACAUCCAUCAGCUCAGUCUGGCUGCUCCUUAACUGCUCCCUCUGGACCACAGGCACAGAAACCUGCUGUGCUGGUAAGAGCUGUUGCCAGGAUGGUGCACAGUGCCAAGCCAAUGGCUGUUGCCAGGGGGAUGCCCAUUGCUGCAAGGCAGCCAGCAAGUGCCAAGUCUAAGAUAUCUGCCAAAACUCCACCAGCGCCAGGGAUGGUGGGAAGAAAUGUGGGUCAGAAGGUCAAGGUGCAGCCCCAAACUCCUCCAGCUACUCAAAAACUUCCCGCAAAGCCGCUAAACAUGACAAACAACAAAGAGUGGGAAGAGGAGGCGUUCUACAUGGAGAGGCUGCGGGAGCAGAUGCGACUGAGGGAGCAGGUUAUCAAACAGAAGGAACGGAUGAGAUCUAGAUGGGCCGCAAACAAGAAGCAUCUGCGGCAGGAGCGAUUCCAAACUGAUAGUUCCACCGGACACUGGAACAACAACCAAAAUCAACAGACACAGCCGUGUGUCUUGGGUUCUUGCCCUUGGAAGGUUACGCACCAGCAGCCCUUCCAUGAUCCGCCUCACUGUCUUUUCCUGGAGCGCCAUCCAGAAAUCCAGCCCUUGCCUUCACAGCAGCACCAGUACCAGGUUGUAGUACCCCCACUUCAGCCACCAUGGCAACAAGCUCCACUGACACAAGGGAAUCCAUCAGGCCAUGCAGCAGAGCUCCAGCAUUAUCAGUCUCAUCAGAGGGGCACAGACAGGGUGGUGUUACAAGGAAUGGGGCAAGUCCCAGAUCAGAUGAACCAACAGUACAGUAUAGAUGAAGUCUGGCGAGGACACAAGAGCAAGUGUGAGCUGAGAACUUCUUACGGGCCUGUUCCCACCAAAAUAAGAGUGGUCAAACACCUCAACCCAGUUAGUGUGAGUUGUGAUCUUACACCACAGAUUAGCGAAGAGACUAACGCAGUGACUAAAACGAAGCCCAGAAUUGUCACCUUCAGAAUGCCUGAUUCAUCACCACCUUCAUUUCUGCAACAGAGUCUCAAGUUAAACUGUCCCAAACAGGGAAAGGGAUGUGGCCCAAACCAGCCCCAGGAUGAGGUGGCAGUCAGGGGAAACCAACCCAGCGCUUUCAUGUAAGUAGACGCCAUAGUUUCCCAGCAUGUUCCUGUUUCGUUCAUAUUUGUUUGUGUUAUUGGGUACCAUAUAGGCUACCAUGAUGCUUAAGCCCUUCUUUUUUUCCUUUUUGUCUUGGCUGUUAUAGACCCUUCAGUUCCGGCCUGAGAACAGAGUCUGUUACUGCUCAAACCCAUGUCAACUUUAUUGUAAGACUAAACCACUGAACAUCUUGGAAAUCAAGCCUUAUCCAACAAAAUGUUGAGUAGAAAAUGUUCAAUGUUCUCACAGGUUUGGCAGCGUUUUUGUUAUGAUGCAAUAUUUGCCUUUUUUGUGAUUGUUGAAGACAGUGGUUUGGCAUUUUGCUCCUUGGUUUCCAUUAAAUACCUACACUGCUUGCAUGUUCCUGCGUGGCUGUUCAUGUCAUUUAGCAAGAAAUCCUUGAAUUUGUUUGUUAUUUGAUAUAUUGAUACUUUUAUACAGUUAAUCUCACUAUUAUUCCCCAUAAAUGUUUUUCAAUUUUAGUUAAGUUUUGUCUCUGUGGAAUGUGCAGAUAAAUAAGACUUAUAAAAACAAAGGUGGCAUCAUGAUGAUGAAUUAUAGCCUGUUGAUAACUGCCAGUAAUGUUUUAAUAAGCAUUAAAGGUAUAGUUCACCCAAAAAUGAAAAUUCUCCCAUUGUUCACUCACCUUCAAGUUGUUCCAAACCUACAAAAGAAGCUAUUUUGAAGAAUGUGGGAAACUGAACAUUUGUUGCUAUUGACUUCCAUAGUAGGAUGAAAUACUAUGCAAGUCAAUGGGGACCAUCAACUGUUCAGUUACCCAUAAUCAUCAUCUUCUUUUUAUUUUUUGCUUUUAUUUGGUUCAUCUUCAGUCAGACAGAAAGUAACUAAAAGGUAAAUAUAGUAAUAUGAAUAAUAUAUAGUUACCCGUAUUCUUCAAAAAAAUCUUUUGUGUGUAUUUGUUAUAAAAGAAAUUCGUACAGGCUUAGAACAACUUGAGUGAGUAAAUUAUGACAGAAUUUUCAUCUUUCUGACAGAAGUCUGCCUUUGCAAAAUGUUAUACUCAUGCAGAUGUCCAGCACCAUCUAGUGGCCAAUUUGUUUGAUCCUUUUCAGUCAAUUAAUAAAUUGGACUUGACAGUGCUUUGAAAAAGCUGUGAAUUCUUGUUUAAUCGCAAUUCUUAAGUAAUUUAAGAAUUUAAAAUUUUUAACCAAUUUAGACAGUUAUGUUUUCAAACACUGAUGGAGAUGUUGAUUUAACUUCCCCAAAAAAGAAGAAAAAGAAAAAACUUACCAUCUCAAAUCACACAGACCACUGAAAGAAUAUGUGGUUCACUGCUUCUUAGAUACAACAAGACCGCCUCGCCUAUUGUGCUUGGUCUUUUGCUUGCAACAGACGUUUCAUUCUGAAAUAUUUUCCAAGACGCUAACGUCUUGUGUUAGGGAAUGUCAACAUUUGCAGAGAGUGGCCCUGCUCUAAUCCGGCAGACUGUGGGAUAGAGAGAGGAUUAGGGGCUAGUUUGUUUUCCUGGUCCCCUGGAAUGUUCCUUUAGCAGUGCUUUUGUACCUGGGCCGGGCCCAAGGUCAUCCCUCUGUCUCCACGCAGCUCCUUUUGUGUCUUCCAGCAAGUCUCAACCACACAGAGUCAACACCGCUCCCUCCUCAAAAGCAGAAUGUGAGUGGAAUUUCAAUCCUUGUCGCAACACUCUCUAAAUGUUACUUACUUUUCUCAUUAAGCAAUUUGAGUCCCCCUCCCCACCAGCGCCAAUGUUGUGUUUGAGUAAAACGUUGAGGGAAAAAAGAUCAGCAUACCAGUGUAUCUCCCAGCUUGUCUGCAUCAUUCAUCACAGGUGCCCAAGGUCAUCCCUCUGUCUCCACGCAGCUCCUUUUGUGUCUUCCAGCAAGUCUCAACCACACAGAGUCAACACCGCUCCCUCCUCAAAAGCAGAAUGUGAGUGGAAUUUCAAUCCUUGUCGCAACACUCUCUAAAUGUUACUUACUUUUCUCAUUAAGCAAUUUGAGUCCCCCUCCCCACCAGCGCCAAUGUUGUGUUUGAGUAAAACGUUGAGGGAAAAAAGAUCAGCAUACCAGUGUAUCUCCCAGCUUGUCUGCAUCAUUCAUCACAGGUUUUGUGCCUGGUGUCUGAUUGAUGUCUGAUGGAUUAACUGACUCAGGUGGGCAGUGUUAUUGAGCUAGUCACUGCUUCAACUUGUGCCAAAGUUGAGCUUCAUUGCUUUCAAUUAUUUUAGAGCUUUACGUGAAUGGGCCUUUCUACAUCUCUACAUAAGCCCUUGUAGAAUGAGUUGAAUGGCCUUUCAGUCGUCUCCAUUCCCAUCUACAUCAUGCCUCACAUGUUAUCAGUACUUUACCAAUACUUGCAGUAAAAACUCUGGUGUUUCUUUCUUCACUAAGACCUUUUUGUGGCUAUUUUCUACAUGAAUCAUAUUUCUUCCAAGACUGUUCAGGUCUUUCAUGAGUACGUUUUGCUCAUCUAUACCAGGAGACUACAAAAUUAUUGAUUUUUAUAUUCAGUGCUCCCCUAACAUCUGUUAGGCCAACUGCCACGGGAACUGCCACGGGAAUGCACUAACAAUCAUGUCAAAGGUUACAUCGGAAAGAACAUUUUAAUUAACUUUAAUAUACUUGCGCAGGUUUCCGUUUUUUUAUUUUAGCUAAUGGUAUGCCAUUUUAAAAGCAAGCUGCUUUUUAUAUAGC
rnacentral:lncRNA from 1 species